rfam:Beta vulgaris subsp. vulgaris chromosome 2, whole genome shotgun sequence.
AGUAGCUCAUUGGUAGAGCGGUCGGCUGUUAACUCAUUGGACGUAGGUUCGAAUCCUUCUU